AAUUAAUGUGAAUUAACAGAAAUAUUAUUAUGCAUUGGAAAUCCCUGCUAAGACUGAAUCUUGUUCACUUUCCUAGUGCCAGCACCUGGUGUAGGCCAGACACACAGAAGAUGCCCAGUAAAUAAAUAAAUGUUAACUCUGAUUAACACAUACUGAUUAGAAACUCUGAUUGGAAAAUAGGUAUAAAUGAAUAAUUAAAAAUAGGGAAAGCAGUUGGUUGUUACUUUAUAAACACAGUUUGUUCAGGGAGAGUAUUUUUCAAAAUGCAAGGCAAAAUGGUGAUGAAAAGGUCACAGACUCUGGGAGAUGCUGAAAAAAACCCCAGCCUCCCACACGGCUUGUGAGAUCAGCAGAGGCAAAAGCCAAAUGCAUGAGUCAUGCCCAGCAAUUCUGAGGCAGGGACCAAUCAGAGGUGUGUGCUGUCCUCGUCACUGUCCGACUGAACUCUUCAUUCAUAGAACAAACAGUUCAAAAGGUCCUUUGAGGAACUCCCUGGUGCCCUUUGGCAGAAGAGUGGCCACAGAGCUGACACCAUGAGCAGAAAAUGUGAGAACCUGUGCUCAAGAGAAAGUGCUCCCAGUGGAAAACGAAAGGAGGUCAAGGCAGGGAAACAAGCAAGCCUGUUAAGGAUUCCAUACAACGCCGCAGAAGUGUUUUCCAAAAGCAGAGUCCCCACAUAGCAAUGGAAAAUGCCAGCUUCAUUUAGGCAGCUGCCCAACACACACACACACAAACACACACACACAAACGUGUGCAUACACACAUGCAUGCAUAAAUACAUGCACAUACACCCCCAUGCACAAACUCCAAAAAGGGAGAAAUGACUCUAAAAUAGCAGAGCCCACUUUGCAUCACAAUGAACAAACCGUUAUGAUCCAUUUCUGAUGAUGAGUAAGGGGCUACGGACUGGCUCUCUGUAACUAGGUCAGGCACCAAUUGGUAGUCAGCUCCACAGACCCAGGAAGAUUUAAUGAGGAGGAGACCAGACAAAGACAGAAGAUGGAAAUAGUGCCCCAAGCACGUGUCCCCAGACACCACAAUCUGGCGAUGGGAUCCAGUCCAUGCUAUUUCUCUCAAAGAUAGACCGGAACAAACUUUUGGAAACUCCUGACAUGCGGAUCACCAGUCCAGGCCAAGCCGUUGAGCCAUGGCUCUGGCAGCAGCAACCGGGCUGGAAUAAAAACAAACCCCGAAUCAAAGGAAGAUCGCGACCCGAGCCGAAAGUACAGAGAGAGCGAAGGCCGUACAGAGGCGGCCCCUGUUACAGCAGGGACAGGACAUAAAUAAAACGGCACUGCCAACCUCAAGCUUGUGUCCACAAAAGCCAAUCCCGUUUGCCGGGAUCUAUGCGCCACCGUUCCCGUCCCUCGUCCGUGCCGGGCAGUAGUAACUGGCACCUGCAUUCAGGCUGGCAGAUGGAGAGGCCAGGCGUAUUGAUUCCAGUGCCUACUCACUCCACCACCACGAAGGUCACGGCGCAGCAGCUGGCCACCGAGGGACUUCCUUGAGAGGCAGAUUCCAGCCUUGGCAAUGCCAUCGCCAGGAGGCACCUUCUCUCUUCAAUCUCGGGACACCUCAUGUGGGGAGACCAAGGGCCACAGGACCGUGAGAGGGCUCAGCCCAGCUUUGUUCUGGACAGACGGAGAGGCGGCUCCUGAUUCCUGGCACUGCCAGCAGCCCCGUGAAUGAGCCACUGUGCAGGUCUGGGAAAAGGGAUGAGGUCCAGGUCCUGCCUAACAAGUGCCCAGGUGAUGGCGGUGAGGACACCACUGGUCCACAGACAGCACUAGGAGAAGCAAAGCCUUGGAGAAAGGAGAUGCUUGGAGAAUGGGGAGCGGAAGUAAACACCUGAGUUUCAUUUGGUUGUUUUUUUGAUGUCAUGGUUGUUUUCAGACAACUUGGAAACUCUUUCAUUAUUCAUGGCUGUUGUUAAAGCUGUGGAUAAGUCCUUGGACCCAGAGGCGGGGAACAUUUGUUGUUUUGUUUUGUUCUAAAUCAAACAAAUAGAAUAAAGCAAAUACCUGUUGCCUCCUGGUGACUGC